CAGCUGUGUCGAAGCCUCUACCUAUAUUCUUCUACCAUGAAUUUUUCUUAACACGAAACCUUACAUCUGAUACAUUUACACUUACUCAUUAAUGCUUGCUGUGUCUAAAUGUAUAUUCAGCCCACGCACACAAGCGUUGCGAGUGAUCGUAGAAUGUGCCUAAAUUGGAAUCUAUUUUGGUCAUGAAAUUUGUUACAUUGUUUAUGACCGAUCCAAAAACUUAAAUAUAAUUCAAAGAAGUCCACUCAACUUAUAUAUUACUAAACAGUUUCUACAAAACUGAAUAGUGGUGAUUGCUAAAACCGAAGUAAUCUACAACUAGAAAUGCUCUAGACAGGCUAUGCAUAUCCUGAACCGGUUCACAUAUAAAAUUCGGCUGAAACUGAUAUUUAUAACAACUGUCUGUAGCUCAUAUCGUACGAGUUGAUUGUAAAAUGGCGGCGCGCCGAUUAUGUCGGCUCAAAUAGCCGCUAAAUACCUAGAAAAUUAUAGCGCGCCCAGUUUUUCGCCAAAUUUUGAUAAAAAAUUCAAAAAAUAAUAUGAAAAUUUUUUUUUUGAAGUACUCAUUUAGUUUGUAUUUAUUUUUCUUGAAAAUCUUGCCGCCGCCGUCAAAUUAGAUAGCGCACCGCCGCAUAAAGGCACAAGUACAUAAAAAGCUUGAAGUCAUGACUAGGCAUAUUAUUUUUUUUUUUCGGAAUCGGCAAUUGGUUACGCCGUCAAGACGAGGUUGGUACGAUACCCUAACACUGCCUUUACACGGUGGCAUUUUUAGCUGGCAUUUUUAUAAAUUCUCUUUUAAAAUUUCUGCGUAAAUCUUCGCGCCUUUACACGGUGGCAUUUUACGAUAAUAGUGCUUGGCAUUUUUUCUGACAUUUUAUUUUAUUCAGUAUUUCGUAUAGAGCUAAUUGUUUGUAACAGAUAUUUAUAAAGAAGUGAUUUAAAAUUAAAUGUGUGAAUCUAAAGAAGAAAUGAUGAAAAAAGUUAUUGAGGUGUUAAAUAUUGCAUUAUUAACUUUUAUUUUAACUUUUUUUUACUUUUUAAUACUUCCAAUUAAUUUUCAUAUAAUUCACUAUACAAUUCAAUCACUAAAAACAUCACAUCACAAUAAAAGAAACGCAUCAAAAAUUACAAUAAAGAAACGAUAUGAAAUGUCUAAAUCAUAAAAAAUUCGGAAGAAGCAAACAGAGAAAUGCAAAGAAAAUGGCAUGUAACCCUGUGCGGUGGCUUAUCGUGCCAUUUUUUCUUCUAUCCUUGUCUCUCUACACCUUUUACCAACAAAAAAAUGGCAUGGUUAAAAAAUGUCACCGUGAAAAGGCAGUGUAAGUAUGCAUGUACCAUUGCUUUGUAUUCGAUUAGUGUUUAUCGAUAAUUAUCUUUUUCUUUCUUGUUUUUCAUUUCUUUGCUUCUUUGUAGAGUUGUGCUGCGUCGCGUAAAAUCCAUUUUACAGCUGUAUAUUGUUUUUGUGAAUGAAAGUGCAUAAUUCAUGAAAGUUUUCAGUGGCGAAACUUUUGAGUAGAGCAGGACAGACAAAGAGUUGGUGAUUCUCGGUGUUUGGAGUGUUGCAAGUGUCGCAUAAGUUGGAGGUUUCAGCUUUUAUGAGAAAUAGGUGGCAUGUUGGAACCUGCAUACCAGCGACGAGACGGCGGUUCUGGGGAAAAUUGAGAGAAAUGCUGAUAGAUCUGAGCAUCUUUUACUGUAAGGUCUGAUUGAAUUAUAGAGCCGACUUGAGCCGCAUGUUUGGCGAAGAAAUCUGCACGCUCAUUUGCAGGUAUGCCAAUAUGUGAGGGAGUCCAGAUAAUGGAUUUGAAUUAUUAUUUGGCACUUUCCUGUUCCUCAAAUGAGUUAUUUAUUUCCGAUGAAAGGAGUGAUUGCUGGAAUUUUUUUAAAAUGUUUAAACCUUCGGCACUAUUAAGUGAGAUAAUUUUGAAAAAGGUAGUAUAGUUGAAGACGGAUUGAGAUGGUGUGAUUUGAAUCGAACUGGCAAUGGCGUGAUGGAUUGGAUUUCGUGGAGACGCAACUUUGCUAUAUUUUAAUUUUGUUACUCUUUUGUUUAUUUCUUCAUAAACGCUUCUUUUUGGUGGUUUGUUUUUAAUAAGAGGGGGGAAGGCAUUGUUAAAUUCAUCAUCAGAAAGGACUUGGAAACGGUUUUGGGAUUCUGGAUAUUUUUGAACAACUUCUUUUCGUGAAAGGUUGGAAAGGGCCAUUAUGCUUCUUAUAUUUCUUUCAGAUUUCCAUCUUGGGCACUGCUUUGGGUCGGUUGCAAAAUGAUCAAUACUAUUACAGAGAAUGCAUCGAGGCGAGUUGCAUAUAUCCUUGCACGUAGUUGUUGACAAACAUUCUUUACAUUUCUGCUCUUUGGGACAUUGAUUGGGGCAUAGAAUAAAUUUACCACAAUUUAAACAUUUUUUCGUCGACCUGCAACGAAUGGCUAUGUGUCCUAACCGUCCGCAGUUUAAACAUAAACGUACAGGGGAGACAUAUAACUCCGGUGUUAUUUUUGUUCCGCACAUAAGUAUCUCCGUGGGUACACCAUCAUAUAUAAUACCGAUUUUUAUGGUUUCGGAGUAUUCUAUUUUAUUGUUUUCGGAUUUUCUAGUGAAGCGGUAUAUUGAAACAACGUCCAUAUCACUAUUAGCUUCAAUUUGUUGUUUAAUUGUAAUAGCAGAAAUACUUAUUGGUACAUUCUUGAUUAUAUAGAACCGUUGUACAAAACGUUCUGGGAUAAAGGCUUUGAGAUCGAUUUGGUUUAACUUUGGGUUCGUAGCAAAUGAGUUGGCUGAAGUAGCAUUGUUAAAUGUUAUUCUGAAAAGAUUGUAUCCAAUGUUUUUGCAAGCAUAGUCUGUAAUAUUAAUCUUUUGAAAUCUUGCAUACAGGUGAAGUUCACAAUUCUUUCUUCUUGUGCUAAUUGGCGUUUCUGAGGAAAAUAAUACAUGUAAAAGACCGGGAUGGUAUUGAGGAUACAAAAUGGUUUCUUUAUUUAGAGAGUUGUAGUUGUGUUGGUCUGCCAUUUCAUUAUUUGAUGUAGGUUCUGUGUUUGUGUUUAUUGGUUUAACAGGUGUUCCAUUUUGGUUUUUGAAAGUUUUAGUUUCUGUGGAAAUGCUUGGGGCUCUUCUUUUAUUUUGUUCCCCCGGAGGAGGAGGUGGAAUAGGCGGAGGAGGAGGUUCCCCUACUCCCCCAUUUUUCAGUUAAUGAAGGAUUAUUUUAACUUUUGUAAAAAAAAUUGCAAAAGCAGGAAAAAAAACUCAAAUUUGUUUAUUUUUGUGUGUGUGAACGCGUUGUUUGUAUAUUUGUUGUUGUUUUGAAAUAAAAGCACAGCGACCAGCGCGAAAAACAGUCUAAUGUCAACAGAUGUUGAUGAGCGACGACUAGGCAUAUUAAUGUAAAAUUAUAAUGGAAAACGACGACAGGAUUUUAUUGCGGCUCUGUAAUCCCUUUAUGAAAUGUCACAAAAUAUGCCUAGCCAUGACUUGAAGCUUCUUAUAUACUUGUACCCUAAGCAGAUUGAAGUCUUCGCGUGGCAUAUUUUGUGACAUAUCAAAAAGAGAUUUCAGAGCCGCACUCGAAUUCUGCCGUCGUUUCCCCACAUAAUUUUACAUUAAUAAGCCCAGUCAAGAUGUCAAGCUGCUUAUGUACCCUCACCUUUAUUUUCAAUCAUCCCAUCAUAACAUAAACAACACGAUACUUCACCACCCUCUAGAAACCCGAGCCCGGUGACUUGGAAUCUGCCCACCUAACUAAGAUCACACUCUCCUUUUCUUCUCACGUCUUUAAUCCCUUACAAUAUGUAUGUCUAACCAUACAACUGGCAAGAAAUUUACAUGUAUUUUAGACCAAAUAGAUUGUAAUUUUCACGCCUUUAAAGGUAAUCUAAAACAGAGAGCUAAAAUAUUUCUCUGAUAAGUUAUGUAACGCUUGAUUAUGGAAUGGAAAAAUUUUGAUUCAGGUAGGACAAGUAUGAAGACAAGGUUUCUAAGAUGAAACACUUGUAGUGGUUUUUAUGUUCUAAGGAAAGCCGAAAAAAUAUUUUUAUUUUUAUAAAAUCUGCCAACUGACAUUUGUAAAUAUUUCAGAUAUGAACAGAAAUUUCAUUUGAAAAUUUUGUCAUAUUCCAUUUAGUAAUUAGUCUAUCUCAUGGUAGAAGAUUACAAGUAGUCGCAUUGGAAGUGAAAUAUUUGAUUGAAAAAUUAUUCAAAUUUGUAAAAAUUGUUUAAAAAAGCGCAUAUAAUAACAUCAUCCGAUUGGCGUCGUACGAGAAAAUAUAAACAAGUCCACUUAUCUUUGAAAAAACAUUUAAAAAAUUGACAAAUCAAUGUUUUCAAGCUUUGCAUGUUGCUGUAUUCUUCUACCAUGAGGCUACAUCUAUUGUUUUUCCAUGAAUAUAAUUCAGAAAACUGAAAGGAGCAGUUUAAUGGGCGUAAUCAGGAGACAUCUGGGUUUACAAGCACACUUACACAGAGUGAGUUGUAAGGACUGUUGUACUUGAAGGGCAUCCUGGGAAGAAGAUGAAACUUUAGAACAUUUUCAUUGCCACUGCCCUAUAUGCUCCUAUAUCUGGCACAAAUAGACCUUAAACAUAUUAGGGGUUUCGUUAAAAAAUCGCACAACAGGCUUAUGUUUAUGACCAUAAGGACGUGUGGCGAUUCAGGGUCGCGCCCUUUUUUCAACCUAUUUUAAUUAUAAGGGCUAUAAAUUAUUAAUACAAAAAAACAUAAUAUAUAAAAAACCACAAUAGAUAAAUAAUGACAAUAAAACAAAUAAAUAAUGAAACAUAUAUAAUUUUUAAGAGCUUAUGCAGAUUCAAAGUUCCAAAAAAAAAAAAUAGAAACAUAUAAACUUUUAGUAAUGUUCCCUUUGUGUGUCAAUUUAAAAUUCAAAUGUCAAAAUAAUACUUUUACCCCUGUAUAUUUUGAAACUGUUUCCUGCCUUAAUUGGUUUAGGUAGGAAACAGCACCACAAUAGGAUCCACUCAACCGAGAACAAGCACCAACAUACAAAUUAUCCGGGACACAUAACAUGCCAUAUUGGGAGAAGUAGUCAAGUAGUCCAGAAAGCAUUUGAUC